AUUGAACGCUGGCGGCAUGCUUUACACAUGCAAGUCGAAGGGCAGCGCGGGCUUCGGCCUGGCGGCGAGUGGCGAACGGGUGAGUAAUGCAUCGGAACGUGCCCAGUAGUGGGGGAUAGCCCGGCGAAAGCCGGAUUAAUACCGCAUACGACCUGAGGGUGAAAGCGGGGGACCGAAAGGCCUCGCGCUAUUGGAGCGGCCGAUGUCGGAUUAGCUAGUUGGUGGGGUAAAGGCUUACCAAGGCGACGAUCCGUAGCUGGUCUGAGAGGACGACCAGCCACACUGGGACUGAGACACGGCCCAGACUCCUACGGGAGGCAGCAGUGGGGAAUUUUGGACAAUGGGGGCAACCCUGAUCCAGCCAUGCCGCGUGCGGGAAGAAGGCCUUCGGGUUGUAAACCGCUUUUGUUCGGGAAGAAAUCCUCUGGGCUAAUACCCCGGGGGGAUGACGGUACCGGAAGAAUAAGCACCGGCUAACUACGUG
rnacentral:rRNA from 1 species